rnacentral:rRNA from 1 species
UCCGUAGGGGUGAACCUGCGGAGGGAUCAUUACCGAGUUUACAACUCCCAAACCCCUGUGAACAUACCACUUGUUGCCUCGGCGGAUCAGCCCGCUCCCGGUAAAACGGGACGGCCCGCCAGAGGACCCCUAAACUCUGUUUCUAUAUGUAACUUCUGAGUAAAACCAUAAAUAAAUCAAAACUUUCAACAACGGAUCUCUUGGUUCUGGCAUCGAUGAAGAACGCAGCAAAAUGCGAUAAGUAAUGUGAAUUGCAGAAUUCAGUGAAUCAUCGAAUCUUUGAACGCACAUUGCGCCCGCCAGUAUUCUGGCGGGCAUGCCUGUUCGAGCGUCAUUUCAACCCUCAAGCACAGCUUGGUGUUGGGACUCGCGUUAAUUCGCGUUCCCCAAAUUGAUUGGCGGUCACGUCGAGCUUCCAUAGCGUAGUAGUAAAACCCUCGUUACUGGUAAUCGUCGCGGCCACGCCGUUAAACCCCAACUUCUGAAUGUUGACCUCGGAUCAGGUAGGAAUACCCGCUGAACUUAAGCAUAUCAAUAAGCGGAGGA